UGAAACCUGAAACCCAGAAGAGUUUCUCUGCCAGUUAUGUGCCUGUCCGUUCUCUGAAGAACCCUGGAGAAUUAUUCCCGUCAAAGUUCUGCCUGCCCGCUCUCAGAAGAUUCUGGAAGGAAACUCAGAUCUGUUAUCUGCCAACACUCAAAUUAAGCUCUGCCUCUGCCAAGCCCUCAGCCUGCCGACAGCCUCUGGACCCUCAAGGUUCCCCCCCUCUGCUGCUCUGCUCAACUCCAGAACAGCAGUGAACCCACUCGUGACCAGUCCUGGAUCUGAUAAUUCUGUGUGCUUUUCAGAACCCACUCGUGACCAGUCCUGGAUCUGAUAAUUCUGUGUGCUUUUCAGAACCCACUCGUGACUAGGCGAGUUCCCCCCUGGAUCUGUUCAUUUAUUGUGUUCAAACACUUCAAUAAACCUUUUAACUUUU